GAUGAAGAACGCAGCGAAAUGCGAUAAGUAAUGUGAAUUGCAGAAUUCAGUUAAUCAUCGAAUCUUUGAACGCACCUUGCGCUCUUUGGUAUUCCGAAGAGCAUGCCUGUUUGAGUGUCAUGAAAAUAUCAACCUUGACUUGGGUUUUGUGCUCUAGUCUCGGCUUGGAAUUGGGUGCUUGCCGCUUUUACGAGCGGCUCACCUUAAAUGUAUUAGCUGGAUCUGUCUUUGAGACUUGGUUUGACUUGGCGUAAUAAGUAUUUCGCUAAGGACAUUCUUCGGAGUGGCCUCGUUUCUAGGACGCUUGUCCGCUUUCCAAUACAAGUUCCACCUCGUGGACAUGACUUUUUAUUAUCUGGCCUCAAAUCAGGUAGGACUACCCGCUGAACUUAAGCAUAUCAAUAAGCGGAGGA
rnacentral:misc_RNA from 1 species